rnacentral:lncRNA from 1 species
AUGAUUCUUCUAAUUUUAGUGUACUCUUCUGAGAGAAAUGGGAUUGGGGGUAAGGAAAAGUUUCAGACAAUAUGGAGUGACCCUUGGUCCCAAACAAUCCAUGCAAGCAUCUCCCUGUCUGGCAGAUCUGAAGCAGCCAUAUAUUACAGCCAACCUCCUUUUAUGAUGCACUGUAUUACAGAAGUUCUCUCCCUUGUACUCCUCUGA